GUCGGGUAAGUUCCGACCUGCACGAAUGGCGUAAUGAUGGCCAGGCUGUCUCCACCCGAGACUCAGUGAAAUUGAACUCGCUGUGAAGAUGCAGUGUACCCGCGGCAAGACGGAAAGACCCCGUGAACCUUUACUAUAGCUUGACACUGAACAUUGAGCCUUGAUGUGUAGGAUAGGUGGGAGGCUUUGAAGUGUGGACGCCAGUCUGCAUGGAGCCGACCUUGAAAUACCACCCUUUAAUGUUUGAUGUUCUAACGUGGACCCGUGAUCCGGGUUGCGGACAGUGUCUGGUGGGUAGUUUGACUGGGGCGGUCUCCUCCUAAAGAGUAACGGAGGAGCACGAAGGUUGGCUAAUCCUGGUCGGACAUCAGGAGGUUAGUGCAAUGGCAUAAGCCAGCUUGACUGCGAGCGUGACGGCGCGAGCAGGUGCGAAAGCAGGUCAUAGUGAUCCGGUGGUUCUGAAUGGAAGGGCCAUCGCUCAACGGAUAAAAGGUACUCCGGGGAUAACAGGCUGAUACCGCCCAAGAGUUCAUAUCGACGGCGGUGUUUGGCACCUCGAUGUCGGCUCAUCACAUCCUGGGGCUGAAGUAGGUCCCAAGGGUAUGGCUGUUCGCCAUUUAAAGUGGUACGCGAGCUGGGUUUAGAACGUCGUGAGACAGUUCGGUCCCUAUCUGCCGUGGGCGCUGGAGAACUGAGGGGGGCUGCUCCUAGUACGAGAGGACCGGAGUGGACGCAUCACUGGUGUUCGGGUUGUCAUGCCAAUGGCACUGCCCGGUAGCUAAAUGCGGAAGAGAUAAGUGCUGAAAGCAUCUAAGCACGAAACUUGCCCCGA
rnacentral:rRNA from 1 species